rnacentral:rRNA from 1 species
CAUAUCAAUAAGCGGAGGAAAAGAAACCAACCGGGAUUGCCUCAGUAACGGCGAGUGAAGCGGCAAGAGCUCAAAUUUGAAAGCUGUCUCCUUUGGAGUCCGCAUUGUAAUUUGUAGAGGUGAUCUCGCAGACGGCACUGCCUUAAGUUCCUUGGAACAGGGCGUCAUAGAGGGUGAGAAUCCCGUAUGGAGGUGGAUGCCCGAUGCAUGUGAGAUCCCUUCGACGAGUCGAGUUGUUUGGGAAUGCAGCUCUAAUUGGGAGGUAAAUUUCUUCUAAAGCUAAAUAUCGCCUGGAGACCGAUAGCGCACAAGUAGAGUGAUCGAAAGAUGAAAAGCACUUUGAAAAGAGAGUCAAAAAGCACGUGAAAUCGUUGAAAGGGAAGCGGUUGCAAUCAGACUCGUUUGUUGGGGAUCAACCGUCGUUUUCGGCGGUGCACUCCCUUUCGUACGGGCCAGCAUCGGUUCUGAUGGCUGGAAAAAGAUGAUGGGAAUGUAGCUUCCUCCGGGAAGUGUUAUAGCCCGUCAUGUAAUACAGCCUAUCGGGACCGAGGUCCGCGCUUCGGCUAGGAUGCUGGCAUAAUGGUUGUAACCAUCCCGUCUUGAAACACGGACCAAGGAGUCCACCAGUCCCGCGAGUGUUUGGGUGUCAAACCCAUCCGCGUAAUGAAAGUGAACGGAGGUGGGAGCUUCGGCGCACCAUCGACCGAUCCGGAUGUUUUCGGAUGGAUUUGAGUAAGAGCGUGACUGUUGGGACCCGAAAGAUGGUGAUCUAUACGUGAAUAGGGUGAAGCCAGAGGAAACUCUGGUGGAGGCUCGCAGCGGUUCUGACGUGCAAAUCGAUCGUCAAAUUUGCGUAUAGGGGCGAAAGACUAAUCGAACCAUCUAGUAGCUGGUUCCUGCCGAAG